CAAAGAGUAACAAACAUUCAUAAAUCCAUCCAUACAAACUUUCGUGUUUAUAACAUUAGUAGGAUUAAUUGUAGUAUUUAUUUCUACUGCCGAACUGUUGCGGCUUCAUUCCAACAUAAAAGAUCUAGUCUCAAGUGUAUUCAUACAUUUAUUAGCUCUUAAAUGUAUUUUGGUCCUUAAAAUAAAAAGGUUUAAUAUAGUCAAAUAAAAAUAUAGUCAACUAUUAAUGUCUAGUCUAGCUUGUUGUCUCUAUGUACCUUUUGUACAACUACGUAGGAAAAAAAUGUUAUUUCGCUAUCUAUAAAUAUUAGACAAUGUGUUUUGAUGUCGUGUGUGAUUUUAAAUAAUGUAGUUACGGGCCGGAACACUAAUAGCGAAGCGUAGAGAAAGGGAUUUUUAUAACAAUCGAAAAUAGACUUUAAAACAACGUGUUGAAAGUUUAGAGUCGUAAAAAACAGUUUUCCGCGCUUUUUCAUGUUAUUAUGUGGUCUUAUGCCCAUUGCAAUGCACCUGGUUUGAUUUGUGAUUUUUUUUUAAUGUUAUGUGCACUUUUUCAUCUUGCAGUGUUAAUAAACGUUUUACAAUAACCAUGUUUUUUUUUGUAAUUUCAUUAAGAUUUACAAUAAAAUAAAAGAGAAGAAACACGGUCUAAGAAGAAGCCUGACAUAAAAAGGAUUGCAUUACUCGUAUGUUCGUAUUUUUACCUUCUGCUGUUAAUAAGACAGGCUGGAGAUCUUGCGGUUGCCGAAUUCCAAGUCAAUCGUGAGGUACAGGAACUACACAUACUCACAAGCUCCGGGCAAGGGCAACCUAGUAUGUUCAAGGAAACGACGGGGGAAGUGCAAUGCAAAAUUAAAACUGAACGAUGCUGGGCAAUUAGUGUCUGCAGACACCAACCAUAAUCACGAACCGCCUGUCUUCCAUAAAACCUCAUUUGGCGAGUAUAUUAAACUGAACUGAUUGAGAUUGUGUAAGGUGCUGUAUACACCAAGAAGAGAAAGAGCAACCUCCUUUAUCAAUUGCGCCACCUCAAGCAAUGUUAUGAAAGGUGUGGAAUCGUGACAACGAUUUGUACGACAUAGGUCGGUUGGUCUGUUUAUGUCUUACUUUAAGACGUGGUGGUAGGUCCCUUGAACCAUUACGCUAUAGCUAAGGGGAGAGAUUAGUGAAGACCGAAAUCUUAUUGGUUUUUAAAUCUUAUCUUCUUUCCGCUUUUUUAUUUAAGAAUGGUAGCCAUCAGUUUUUACUACAUUUAACAAAAGGCUCCGCCGUAGAAUAGUUAGAGUCCUGUACAUAAAAAAAUAUAAAUAAAAAUACCUCCUAAAACUGGUUGACUGGAUUUAAUAACAAUAAAAAAAAUAAUAUUCAAAAUAUAUUUAGGUACAUGUACUUAAUAAAUAUUCGCAAAUCCUAACCAAAAUGUUAUAUCAUUAAUUUCGUGCCCGUUAUGUAUUACAUUACUAUAAACUCACAAAACAUUGUAUUCGUUUUAUUUCUUUACAAAACCUAUCAGUGCUGUUGCCGCUGUCGGUGUCUUCAAGUGCCUAUUUUUUAUGUUUAUUUUCAUUGUUCGAUUAAAAGUAGGAAAGUGUUUAUAGUUUCGCAGUUGUAAAAUUUUAUAAAAAAAACCCAAUAAAUGUUAUGAACUGUUUCUUUCAUUAUUUUAAGUGUAACAGGUGGUUUUUUAUCUGCGUCGUUUUUAUUCACGUUCACUUUCAUCUUAAUGCAAGUCUUAAUGUACAGACAGCCAACCAUUGCCUAAAAAGUAAUAUUAUAGGAGUUGUGGAAGAGAGACGCCGCUCGACAUAGUGUGCUGUCACGCUUCCACUGGUAUUAAUUAAUUGGUAUUAAUAAGUUUUUUUUUCCAGCCAGCGCUUACGAGAGCAUCAAUGUAAACGGAAGAUCAGUGAUACUUUACGAGGAUCAUACCUAUUCUAGAGGUGGGGCACGAAAACGUACGUCAUUUCUAUUCUUCGAAGAAGUGGGCCAAACAGUGUCAGACCAAUCUGACUCGGACUGAGGACUGAUCACAACCACCCACCCGCCUCCCAUCCUGGUUCCUACAGCCGAUGGAAAAUAUUACAAAUUAAAAUAAUAAUUAAAUAGUUAGUGGUAUUUUUUUUACCACGCAAUUAGAUUUGAAGUAGAUCUUUGUAAUCAGUGUUCGGGAAUAUCGAUGGCCAGCCAAAACAAAAAUAAUAAAGGUUGUUAGCUAAGCCAGAAUCAAAAGCGAUGUAGAUUUGUUGAAAAGUGUGAAAUACCUAACUCAUGUGCUAAGUAGCGAUUGUUACACAUUUUGUUUUCUAUAUUCUAUGUUUAGUUUACUUUUCAUUAAACUAUGUUCAUAUAUUUAUUGUCUUGAUUGUAAUGAAGUGCGUUUUCUUAUAUUCUGCCAGCGGCAAUAUGAGUAAAGACGGUCAUUAUAACAACGAUGGACGUUAUCUAAGAAAAAGCACUACGAAAUAAAAUUGAAAUUUUUGUAUUUGUUUAUUCUUGUAUGGCAACAACAAUUUUUAAUAAGCUGCCAGCACAGAUCAGACAACUGCCUAUAAAUAAAUUUAGACGUGCAAUAUUUACUUGGCUUUUACAUAUGUGCUUCUAUUCUGUUAGAGAAUUCAUAGAUUAUAAGUUUGAUAAAUAAUAGUUAUUGUAAAUUAUUUCUAAAUAUAACCGUAACUUUCGGAUUAAGUAUGUUAAUGUAGAAAUUCUAGUAUAGAAAGUAGUGUUUAUUGUAAAAUUAUAAUAUUUCUACACCUGAUACGGUAGUAUAUGUGCAACUAUAAUAUAAAAUUUAAACAUCUGUAUGUAAUAACAAGUACUAAGAAAUAAAUAAAUGAAAAUGAAAAUACAAUAAUUAUUACCGGACACACUCCAAGAAUCCUUCUUGCUUUCGAUGGAAGAUGCAUUAAAUAUAGCUGAUAACAAUGCAUGGUCUCUUGACUCUUGACAGGCGGUACUUGUGAUUUAGUUUUUCUAUUUUAUGUUAAUUUGUUCGUCAUGUUUUUAACGAAUCUCUUUAAUUAAUCAAACUGUCAAUAUCAACUGAUCUAUCCUAACCAAUAUCCAUAUCCGAACGAAUCUAUCAAUUCUUAGCCUCGUUACCUACCUCGUAGUGUUGAUGCGUACAUAAACUAAGAUUUUUAUGUUCAAAUGCAAUGUCAGUCAGGGUUACAAGUAAAUUUCUUGCUCAUUUUUUCUAUUUACAGACACAUACGACUAUGAUACCAUUAACAUUGGCCCGGCUUCCCUAAUUCUAUAUAAGGAUUAUACAUUUUCGAGAAGUGGUGUAAGGUCGCUUAAUAGAUUCUGUUCGAAAAAGAAAUCAAGGAAUUGUCCAGCAAGACUGAGACUGACUGAGGAUGGGGCUAUAGAGUCAGCGAGAACCGAUCAUAACCACCCCCCUCCACCGCUCUUCCGUAAAUCCGAUGGAAGAUACUUCAAGCUAUAGGUAAAAUAAAAUCACCACCAAACAUUGAUACCAAAUACACGACUCCCUAAAUAUUGGUAUUUGAAUCUUUUGUUGUUUACAAUAUUUAAAACUCACUUUGGGGCAUUCCAGUGUCAUUUUGUAACGAUGAAAGCUUUGCCAAAUAUACUGGAUGUUGAGAAAUACGAAACGAUAUUCAGUUUUUUUUUUUAAUAAAUGAAGUAGGAAUCAUUUUGCUUUUUACUUGAACUAAAAUCUAUAACAAAUACCCAAACUACAUAUAUGACGUUAUAGGAGAAAUAGAAACAUACCGUCUGUUAAAAAUUCAAAUGUCUAGCUAUCACGGUUCCUGUAAUAGAGCUUGGUGACGGACAGUCGGGUGGACAGACAUACAGCGGUGCCUCUGUAACAGGGUUCUGACUUUACCUUUUGAAUACAAAACUCUAAAAUUAAAAUACUGUCCGAAUGAUAAUAAAAAUAAUGUCUACGCUUCUACUAUUUAUUCUAUAUUAUGAGUAACGAUGCUAUGUUAAUUUUUUUUGCAGUAAUAAAUUGUGACAGUUUAGUGCAGAUUUCUGUCAAUGGUAGACGGGUGCUUUUCUAUAAAGAUUAUACUUUUUCAAAGAAGGGCCGGGGUUUCCGCCACCAGUAUUGUUCAAAGAAGGUCUCAAUAAAUUGUCCGGCGAAGCUAACUCUGGGCCCGAACUGGGGCAUUGAGACUCAAAGACUGGACCAUAAUCACCCCCCUCCGAAGUUGAUGCGGACUUCAGACGGAAGAUACUUUACAUUAGCAGAAUAAUUUGCGUUUUGGAAGACAAUUAAUAAAAAUAUAUCGAGCCUGAAUAAAAAAGUAAAAAC